UGCCAGCAGCCGCGGUAAGACGAAUGUGGCAAGCGUUGUUCGGAAUCACUGGGCUUAAAGCGCUCGUAGGCGGUUUUGUGUGUUAGUUGUGAAAGCCCUCGGCCCAACCGGGGAACUGCAAUUAAAACUACAAGACUCGAGGACAUUAGGGGAGAUUGGAAUUCUGGGUGUAGCGGUGAAAUGCGUAGAUACCCAGGAGAACGCCGGUGGCGAAAGCGGAUCUCUGGAGUGUUCCUGACGCUGAGGGGCGAAAGCUAGGGGAGCGAACGGGAUUAGAUA
rnacentral:rRNA from 1 species